rnacentral:lncRNA from 1 species
CCACUACGCUAGUAGCGUAGCUGGGCCGCGGGUAUGCGGCGGGUGUGGCUGUGCUGAGGCGCGCUAGAAUAAAGGAAGCCUGGGCCAAGCUUGCGCUGGGGUUCGGGUUCAGCGCUACGUCAUCGGCGGAACCAUGGAGUCGAGCUGUUUAUCCCGGGGCAGUGGAGGCCACCCGCCUUUUGGGGGAUCCCUGCUUGGUACUUCGGGAAUUAGAUGAGUCAGUCCAGUGUAACCUAGUGGCCUACCAGCAUGUCAGAUGUACCACUUGUCAAGAAUGGAUGAGAAGGUGUGAAUGGGUUGUGAUUUGCAUUGUUGGAAGGAACUGAUAAAAUCUGAAAUUCAUUAAUGUAUUCAUCAAACAGGCUAUUGGAAUAAUUCAGAACAGCAGCAAUGUCAGAGGAGAAGAGAAGAGAGAUACUGCGAGAAGACAGGUCUUGGCAAUAGGUUGGAUAUGGAAGAACUGAUGAAAUCACCAAGUGUAUCUACACUUAGAGAAGAAGUGGA